UACGGAAGGCAGCAGUGGGGAAUAUUGCACAAUGGGCGCAAGCCUGAUGCAGCCAUGCCGCGUGUAUGAAGAAGGCCUUCGGGUUGUAAAGUACUUUCAGUCGUGAGGAAGGUGUUAAGGUUAAUAACCUUAGCAAUUGACGUUAGCGACAGAAGAAGCACCGGCUAACUCCGUGCCAGCAGCCGCGGUAAUACGGAGGGUGCGAGCGUUAAUCGGAAUUACUGGGCGUAAAGGGCACGCAGGCGGUUAAUUAAGUUGGAUGUGAAAUCCCCGGGCUUAACCUGGGAAUGGCAUUCAAGACUGGUUAGCUAGAGUCUUGUAGAGGGGGUAGAAUUCCAUGUGUAGCGGUGAAAUGCGUAGAGAUGUGGAGGAAUACCGGUGGCGAAGGCGGCCCCUGGACAAAGGCUGACGCUCAUGUGCGAAAGCGUGGGGAGCGAAACAGGGAUUAGAUACCCG
rnacentral:rRNA from 1 species